rnacentral:rRNA from 1 species
GUCGGCGAAGUUACUUUGAAAAAAUUAGAGUGUUCAAAGCGGGCUUACGCUUGAAUAUAUUAGCAUGGAAUAACACUAUAGGACUCCUGUCCUAUUUUGUUGGUCUUCGGGACGGGAGUAAUGAUUAAGAGGAACAGUUGGGGGCAUUCGUAUUUCAUUGUCAGAGGUGAAAUUCUUGGAUUUAUGAAAGACGAACUUCUGCGAAAGCAUUUGCCAAGGAUGUUUUCAUUAAUCAAGAACGAAAGUUGGGGGAUCGAAGAUGAUUAGAUACCAUCGUAGUCUCAACCAUAAACUAUGCCGACUCGGGAUUGGCGGUCGUUACUAAUGACUCCGUCAGCACCGUAAGGGAAAUCAAAGUCUUUGGGUUCCGGGGGGAGUAUGGUCGCAAGGCUGAAACUUAAAGGAAUUGACGGAAGGGCACCACCAG